UGAGGAAUAUUGGUCAAUGGGCGAGAGCCUGAACCAGCCAAGUCGCGUGAGGGAAGACGGCCCUACGGGUUGUAAACCUCUUUUGUCAGGGAGCAAUGGCACACACGAGUGUGUGCAGGGCGAGUACCUGAAGAAAAAGCAUCGGCUAACUCCGUGCCAGCAGCCGCGGUAAUACGGAGGAUGCGAGCGUUAUCCGGAUUUAUUGGGUUUAAAGGGUGCGUAGGCCGGACAUCAAGUCGGCGGUAAAAUCUAAGGGCUCAACCCUUACGAGCCGUCGAAACUGGUGACCUAGAGUGGGCGAGAAGUAUGCGGAAUGCGAGGUGUAGCGGUGAAAUGCAUAGAUAUCACGCAGAACUCCGAUUGCGAAGGCAGCAUACCGGCGCCCAACUGACGCUGAGGCACGAAAGCGUGGGGAUCGAACAGG
rnacentral:rRNA from 1 species